rnacentral:rRNA from 1 species
ACGUAGGGGGCGAGCGUUGUCCGGAUUCAUUGGGCGUAAAGCGCGCGUAGGCGGCCCGGUAAGUCGGAUGUGAAAUCCCGGAGCUCAACUCCGGAACUGCACCCGAUACUGCCGGGCUCGAGGUAGGUAGGGGAGAUCGGAAUUCCUGGUGUAGCGGUGGAAUGCGCAGAUAUCAGGAGGAACACCGGUGGCGAAGGCGGAUCUCUGGGCCUUACCUGACGCUGAGGUGCGAAAGCUAGGGGAGCGAACAGGA